rnacentral:rRNA from 1 species
CUACGGGACGCUCCAGUGGGGAAUAUUGGACAAUGGGCGCAAGCCUGAUCCAGCAAUGCCGCGUGAGUGAAGACGGCCUUAGGGUUGUAAAACUCUUUCGCUAGGGAAGAUAAUGACUAUACCUAGUAAAGAAGUCCCGGCUAACUCCGUGCCAGCAGCCGCGGUAAUACGGAGGGGACUAGCGUUGUUCGGAAUUACUGGGCGUAAAGAGUUCGUAGGCGGACUGACAAGUUAGAGGUGAAAUCCCAGGGCUCAACCCUGGAACUGCCUUUAAAACUGUCAGUCUAGAGACCGGAAGAGGUUAGGGGAAUACCUAGUGUAGAGGUGAAAUUCGUAGAUAUUAGGUGGAACACCAGUGGCGAAGGCGCCUAACUGGUCCGGUACUGACGCUGAGGAACGAAAGCGUGGGGAGCAAACAGGAUUAGAUACCCGCGUAGUC